GUGGAAGAAGGAAGGCCUGACUAUCUGACGCUUGUAACGUUUUGAUUCUGCGCUCAACCAGGAACUGCUUUCGAUUGUUGGCGGGCGCCGCCAUCUUGCUCAGUGAGCUCACGAGCGGCAGUACGUGAAGCCGUUGUUAGUUAUAACAAAAUCUAUCCUCAUUGUAAUACUACAUAUUUAAUUGAUAUAUUUAUUAAUAAUAAUAUUUAAAAUCAUUUAUUUACGUUCAUAUUUAUAUUAAAUAUAAUAUAAAUAAUGGCCGAACGUGAGGAUAAUGUCUACAAGGCAAAGCUUGCCGAACAGGCGGAGCGUUAUGAUGAAAUGGUUGAGGCAAUGAAAAAAGUUGCUUCCUUAGACGUCGAGUUAACUGUAGAGGAGAGAAAUUUAUUGUCUGUUGCAUACAAGAAUGUUAUUGGUGCUAGAAGAGCUUCCUGGCGAAUAAUUUCUAGUAUCGAACAAAAAGAAGAAAAUAAAGGAGCGGAAGAAAAACUCGAAAUGAUUCGUCAAUACAGAUCUCAAGUUGAAAAAGAGCUUAGAGACAUUUGCGCGGACAUACUCGAUGUCCUCGAUAAGCAUCUCAUUCCUUGCGCCUCAACAGGCGAGUCCAAAGUCUUCUAUUACAAAAUGAAGGGUGAUUACCAUCGUUACCUAGCAGAAUUUGCUAUCGGCACUGACAGGAAAGAAGCCGCUGAGAAAUCCUUAAUAGCAUACAAAGAAGCGAGUGAAAUCGCAAUGACAGGACUCCCUCCUACUCAUCCAAUUCGUUUAGGAUUAGCCCUAAACUUUUCCGUCUUUUAUUAUGAGAUAUUGAAUAGUCCAGAUCGAGCAUGUCGUUUGGCAAAAGCAGCUUUCGAUGAUGCCAUUGCUGAACUCGAUACUCUAUCUGAAGAGAGCUACAAAGAUUCUACCCUUAUUAUGCAACUACUCAGGGACAACCUCACUUUAUGGACCUCGGACAUGCAGGGUGAUGAGUCUGAUACUGAACAAUCGUUACUGCCUGUUGAUAAUCCUCUAUCCGACGACAAUGAUACUCAUCCUUAAAACUACUUCCAUACUUAUAUUUCGUCCUUAAUCCCCGUCAUUUCUUCUACUGAUUGGUGAUGGCGAACAAAAAGAACAAACGCAAGAUGUAGACGAUCAGGAUGUAUCGUAACUUUAGUUUCAGUGAGUGUUAUUUGCGCAUACAAUUGGGACACAAUAAAAAUAAAACAACAACAAAUAAACUCUUAAUAAUUAAGUAAUUAAACAAACAAACCAACAAAAAAUAAUAAUAAUAAUAAAAUAAUAAUAAUAAUGAAAGAAUUAAAAUUGAGGGAGUUGAAUGUCGCGGUGGGAAGAAAAUAAGAAGAGAAAAGAGGGAGGGUUAAAACGACAAUUGAAGAGAGGGUGGAUAAUUUAAAAAAAAUAAUGUGAGAUCUUUAGUAAUUACGUGACUUACUUACAGUUAUAACUCGUUAAUAAUACAACCUUAUAAAACAUAAAAAAAGCAAAAAAAAAAAAAACCUAUAUUUAAAAAAUUGGAAAUGAAAAUAAAUCUUGUGGUAAGUUUAAAUUUUUAACAACUAUAUUUACAAUAUGUGCACAUGUAUACAAAAAACAUAAUAAUAAUUACUGAGUACAUAAAUAAAUUAAAUAUUAAUUAUUAUUGUAUUAUGUAUUAUGUACUCUUAUUAAUUAAUGUGACAUUUUUGCGCGAAGAAACAUUAAAAAAUUUUUACAUAUCGAAAAUUUACUUAACAACUUAUUAAAUGUCUUUUAAAUUUAUUUUUAUUAUUUCAAUUGUUCCCUUUAUUUUAUUUUUUAUGUAUACGAUAUAUUUUUCAUGAUAUUCUUGUAUUUAAAUUUAAAAAGUAAAAUUUACUAAAGUACUAAUUAAAUUUUUUAUUUUAUUUUCUCUUAAUUUGAAUUUAAAUAUACGUUUAUAAUAAUUUAAAAAUUUAUAUUUAUUGUGUAAAAUGUUCCUUCUCGCAAUUCACAUAUUUUAUAAAUUAUAAAUAUUAUACUUAUAAAGAAGAAAAAAAAAGUAAUCAUGCUGGCUAAUACUCUCCUCUUUUCGUUUUAAAACCCUCCUAUUAAAAUACAAUCGCGAUUAUUUGUAAAUCUUUUCAAGACGUUUGUUGUCCCAUAUCGAUUAUUUAAAUAACAGCGGUACGAAAUAAUUAAUGCAUGAAUUUAAAUGUAAUAAAUCGCGACGUUAAGGAAUUAAAAAUAAAAAUAAACAAAACAAUUAUAGAAUUAAGGAUCUCAAACCCAUCGCAAUAAAUAAACAAUCUCGUCGGUAAUCGUUAGCUUAGCACCUGUAAUAAAAUAAAAUAAAAAAAAAACUAGAGCUUACUACAGUGCAUCUACUUUUCAUUAUUCUGAAAAAAAAAUUAAUUAACAAAAUGGUAUUUUAUUUAUAUUAAUGUAAGUUUUUUUUCGUAAGAUUUAUAAUAGUUAUAUAUCACAAGUCUAUUUCUCAUUGAUUGUGAUGCACUUGGAUGAUAUUAAAUUUUAUUAAUUAUGAGUAUAAUUGUAAAAAAAAAAUAAGUUGAUUAUUUUCUGGUCAUAUUUUUAUUAAUGAUAAAAAGUUUUUUUUUUCUCUUGUAUCCUCAUGAAAAAAAAUAAAUAAACCGGCAGUUAAUAAAUUGGAAAAAUAAAAUCUUAAUUGUAUACAUGAUUUUAUUGAACUUUACUAAUAUUAAUUAUUGUUUAAGAAUUUAAAAUUAUACAAUGAAAAAAAAUCUGCUGAAUAUGUACUAUAUUUUUUUUUAUUUUUUCAUAAUUACUUGCGUUGAUUGUAUUCAGUAGUGAUACUUAAAUACAAUAUUUACAAAUUAAUAAAUUGCUCUGUAUCAUGAUUUGUUAAUAAUUUUCUUUCUUUUAUUGUUUAAUAUAUAUAUGAAUAUCAACAAUUUUAAAGCAACACAUAUUUUUAUAUUAAUUGAGGGCAUUCUCAGACAGUACCACCCACUUGUGAAAAAUAUUCAAUUACUCCUGUCAGAAUUUUAUUAAUUAAUUAUAAAAGUUGAAGCAUUUAAAAAAAGACAAUUUCACUGAGAUGAAGAUUUAAAAAAAAAUAUUUAGUUAUCAACUAGGAGUCGAACGAAAUUUUGUGAAUAAAUUUAAGCCUACACAGAAAAAAAAAUUUUUUUACUUGACCUAAGAAAUUUUUUGUAUUUUGAAUUGAAAAAGAAAAUUUUUUGAAACCAAAAAAAAAUUUCUUACAUUAAUAAAUUUUUUUUUUUUGUUUUACGAUACAAAAAUUUUUCUUGCGCCAAGAAAUUGUUUUUUUUCUGUGUAAAAAAUUUUAAAAUUGAUAAGAAAAUUUUACUGAAAUUUUUUUAACAAAUUUCCCAAUUGAUAUCAACUUUAAGUAAAUUUUAAAAAAUUUAUAUCAGCGAAAUUUUUAAAUUAAUGCUUCAAUUUUUCUUUGAUUGAUUAAUAAAAUUUUAAUACGUCUAUGACGAAAGAUAUUAAAUAUUUUUAAAAAGUGGGGGCAGUUUUAGAAAAUACCCUUAAUUUCUCGUGAUUUUUUUAAUUCUUCCCCCGUGACAUUAUGUUCAUUUAAACAGAUAAAUAUAAAUGAAUGAAUGAAUGUUAUAACAAGAGAAAAAAAACUUUUUGUAACAUUAAGUACAUGUUUUAUUGACAAUUAGUAAAUAUCGUAAUUAUUGUAUGUGUAAAAAAAAGAUUGAUUCCAUUUUCAAUGAUAAUUUUUUUUCAUCAUAAUCUCGUGUAAAAAAAAAUUCGUUCCAAAAUUACCCCGAAAUAGUUCGACGUGUAGAACUUCUGAACUUAAGACAGAGUAGAACUUUCAGUGAAACUUUUUUUGAACUUUUGUAAUUUCGAUAGUAAAAAAAAAAUUUAUCUCGGACUUUAUAUGAUCGAAUUUUGAAUGAAAGAACUUUUUUUUUUAUUAUCAAAGUUACAAAAGUUUCACUCGGAUUCUAAUCUGUCUCAAGUCUAUAAGUUCCACUGUCGAACUAUUUUGAAUUAUUUUUGAAACGGACUUUUUUUACGCGGGAAAUUUCUUAUGAUACUGAAAUUAGCUGACGUUUAAUAAUUUUUUGAUUUUGUUUAAAAUAAUAAAUAAAUUAUAAAAAAAAAAUAUUUAAAAAAAUUGCACUUAUAGUUUAUUUAAUUUUCUACACGUGCAUAUUUUUAUUUUUUUUAUUUUUGUAAUUGAUGUUGAAAAAAAAAAUCCGAAAAUUGUUAAUUGUCUACUAAUUUAAGAAUCAUAAUUUAUUACCAAUUAAGUAGUUUAAUUUUUGUCAUGAUUUUUAAAUACAAUAGAUUAUUAUUGUUUUUUAUAACUACCGAUUUUAUAGUUUCAUUAAACUAAUAAAUAAAAUUUUAAUUUAAUUAACAUUUUUAGUAUUACUUGUCGUCGGCGUAUUAUCAUUCAAAUUAAAUAUGAAAAUAAAUUUAUUUUUAUUUUUAAAAAUUAAAUUUAAACAGUAAAUCGAGAGUAAAUUUUUAAAUCCACAUAAUUAAUAGUUGAGGGAAAAAAAAUGUAGUAAUUAUUGACAAGAGCUACGGCAGGAUGGACUAGAUCGUAUUUAAGAUUUAAAAUUAUUUAAAAGUCUCAAUAAAUAAUAAAGCGAAUAAAUUUUUCACUGCAUUUCAUUUUUAAAAAUAUUAAAUAAAAUUUAAAUUUAAACGAAAUAAACUGUAAAGCCACAUGAUAAAAUGCUAUAAAUAAAUAAGAUAAUCAAAGAA